UCAUUACUGAGUGAGGGCCCUCUGGGUCCAACCUCCCACCCGUGUUUAUUGUACCUUGUUGCUUCGGUGCGCCCGCCUCACGGCCGCCGGGGGGCUUCUGCCCCCGGGUCCGCGCGCACCGGAGACACUAUUGAACUCUGUCUGAAGAUUGCAGUCUGAGCAUAAACUAAAUAAGUUAAAACUUUCAACAACGGAUCUCUUGGUUCCGGCAUCGAUGAAGAACGCAGCGAAAUGCGAUAACUAAUGUGAAUUGCAGAAUUCAGUGAAUCAUCGAGUCUUUGAACGCACAUUGCGCCCCCUGGUAUUCCGGGGGGCAUGCCUGUCCGAGCGUCAUUGCUGCCCUCAAGCACGGCUUGUGUGUUGGGCUCCGUCCCCCCGGGGACGGGUCCGAAAGGCAGCGGCGGCACCGAGUCCGGUCCUCGAGCGUAUGGGGCUUUGUCACCCGCUCUGUAGGCCCGGCCGGCGCCAGCCGACAACCAAUCAUCCUUUUUUCAGGUUGACCUCGGAUCAGGUAGGGAUACCCGCUGAACUUAAGCAUAUCAAUAAGCGGGA
rnacentral:rRNA from 1 species